AGCUAUGGUAUUUUUUCCAGUCUCUAACCUUUGCAAAUUCUUCUAGUUUCUUUGACAGAUCUUUCAAGCUGAUGUCCACUGCUUUUCCUUGCCAAAUUUCUUCUUCCAUGGCUUGUUAUGCUACUUUUUCACAGCCUUUACGCCAAUGCAAGAGGGACUUUCUGUUGGGUGAUAUUGGAUCUCUCUCAUCCCCGAAGCUAGCUCAAGAGGCGAGACUUUCUUUCACACUUAUAAACUGAAUGCUAACAUCAUCCACAACCGGUGUGGGACAACCUCAACAAGCUCCCCCUCACACAUCGGGUUUUGCGAAAGACCAAUCACGUCUCCCUCCACACAUUGGGGCUUGCGGGAGACCAAACCCGUCUCUCCCUCAUAUAAACCCGUAUCUCUGUAUAUUGUUGGACAUGAA
rnacentral:lncRNA from 1 species